UGCAAGUCGGACGAGGAGCCUUUGUAUUCGUACGAGGGAUUUCCUAGAGGCGAACGGGUGAGUAUCGCGUUGGUAACCUGCCCUGAAGAGAGGGACGACAAUUCGAAAGAAUUGCUAAUACCUCAUGUGAACAUAAGUCUUAGACGGCUAAUGUUUAAAGGAGUAAUCCGCUUCAGGAGGGGCCUGCGUCCCAUCAGCUAGUUGGUAAGGUAAUGGCUUACCAAGGCUAUGACGGGUAGGGGACCUGAGAGGGUGGUCCCCCACAAUGGAACUGAAACACGGUCCAUACACCUACGGGUGGCAGCAGUAGGGAAUAUUGCACAAUGGGCGAAAGCCUGAUGCAGCAACGCCGCGUGAGCGAUGAAGGCCCUCGGGUCGUAAAGCUCUUUUACGAGGGAAGAGAAAGGACGGUACCUCGUGAAUAAGGAUCGGCUAACUACGUGCCAGCAGCCGCGGUAACACGUAGGAUUCGAACGUUAUCCGGAUUUAUUGGGCGUAAAGCGCGUGUAGGCGGUUUGGCAAGUUGGAUGUGAAAGCUCCAGGCUCAACCUGGAGAGGUCGUUCAAAACUGCCAGACUAGAGGACGGUAGAGGGAGGUGGAAUUCCGGGUGUAGUGGUGAAAUGCGUAGAUAUCCGGAGGAACACCAGUGGCGAAGGCGGCCUCCUGGGCCGUUUCCUGACGCUCA
rnacentral:rRNA from 1 species